AUUGAACGCUGGCGGCAUGCUUUACACAUGCAAGUCGAACGGUAACAGGCCGCCAGGUGCUGACGAGUGGCGAACGGGUGAGUAAUGCAUCGGAACGUGCCCAGUCGUGGGGGAUAACUACUCGAAAGAGUAGCUAAUACCGCAUACGAUCUAUGGCUGAAAGCGGGUGACCGUAAGGCCUCGCGCGAUUGGAGCGGCCGAUGUCAGAUUAGGUAGUUGGUGGGGUAAAGGCUCACCAAGCCAACGAUCUGUAGCUGGUCUGAGAGGACGACCAGCCACACUGGGACUGAGACACGGCCCAGACUCCUACGGGAGGCAGCAGUGGGGAAUGUUGGACAAUGGGCGCAAGCCUGAUCCAGCAAUGCCGCGUGCAGGAAGAAGGCCUUCGGGUUGUAAACUGCUUUUGUACGGAACGAAACGGCUCUGGUUAAUACCCGGGGCUAAUGACGGUACCGUAAGAAUAAGCACCGGCUAACUACGUG
rnacentral:rRNA from 1 species